AGGCCAGUAGCUCAGUUGGACAGAGCACAAGAUUCCUAAUCUUGGGGUCGCGGGUUCAACUCCCGCCUGGCCUACCA
rnacentral:tRNA from 1 species